UGCCAGAGUCAUAUUUCCCUGUAGUUCUUGCCUGGAUUUCCCCUGAUGCUAAGCAGGGUUUUUUCUGGCCAGUACCUGGAUGGGAGACCUCCUGGGGAAAACUAAGGUUUCUGCUGG
rnacentral:rRNA from 1 species